CAAGUCGAACGCGAAAGUCCCCUUCGGGGGACAAGUAGAGUGGCGCACGGGUGAGUAACACGUAGGUAAUCUACCUUUGGAUUGGGAAUAACCACCGGAAACGGUGGCUAAUACCGAAUAAUGCAGCGGCACCUAAUGGUGACAGUUGUUAAAGCGGGGGAUCGCAAGACCUCGCGUCUGAAGAGGAGCCUGCGGCAGAUUAGCUAGUUGGUAAGGUAACGGCUUACCAAGGCGAUGAUCUGUAGCCGGCCUGAGAGGGCGGUCGGCCACACUGACACUGACAUACGGGUCAGACUCCUACGGGAGGCAGCAGUCGGGAAUUUUGGGCAAUGGGCGAAAGCCUGACCCAGCAACGCCGCGUGAAGGAUGAAAUCCCUCGGGAUGUAAACUUCGCAAGAACGGGAAGAAUAAGUAAGAGCUAACAUCUCUUACGAUGACGGUACUGUUUGUAAGCUCCGGCUAACUCCGUGCCAGCAGCCGCGGUAAUACGGGGGGAGCAAGCGUUGUUCGGAUUUACUGGGCGUAAAGGGCGCGUAGGCGGCACCGCAAGUCGACUGUGAAAUCUCCGGGCUUAACUCGGAAAGGUCAGCCGAUACUGCGGGGCUAGAGUGCAGAAGGGGCAACUGGAAUUCUCGGUGUAGCGGUGAAAUGCGUAGAUAUCGAGAGGAACACCUGCGGCGAAGGCGGGUUGCUGGGCUGACACUGACGCUGAUGCGCGAAAGCUAGGGGAGCGAACGGGAUUAGAUACCCCGGUAGUCCUAGCCUUAAACGAUGAAUGCUUGGUGUCUGGGGUUUUAUAGUCCCCGGGUGCCGUCGCUAACGCUUUAAGCAUUCCGCCUGGGGAGUACGGUCGCAAGACUGAAACUCAAAGGAAUUGACGGGGACCCGCACAAGCGGUGGA
rnacentral:rRNA from 1 species